rnacentral:rRNA from 1 species
CCGGACAAGUGGACAGACGCCGAGUUGGAUAAGGUGAAGGACAAAGAUAUGAGAACUCCAUCAUGUUGGUGUGGAGAUGUUUGCAAAGUUAAGGUAUUCACCGACCGCAAGAAAUCAUGGACGGAAGGAAGACGAUAUUUUGUUUGUCCCAACUAUGCCUACGAUCGUCCUCGUCAGCUCACGCCUAUGAUGUACCACCGGUAA